GAUGAACGCUGGCGGCGUGCCUAAUACAUGCAAGUCGAGCGAAUGGAUUAAGAGCUUGCUCUUAUGAAGUUAGCGGCGGACGGGUGAGUAACACGUGGGUAACCUGCCCAUAAGACUGGGAUAACUCCGGGAAACCGGGGCUAAUACCGGAUAACAUUUUGAACCGCAUGGUUCGAAAUUGAAAGGCGGCUUCGGCUGUCACUCGUGUAUGGACCCGCGUCGCAUUGGCUAGUCGGUGAGGUAACGGCUCACCAAGGCAACGAUGCGUAGCCGACCUGAGAGGGUGAUCUGCCACACUGGGACUGAGACACGGCCCAGACUCCUACGGGAGGCAGCAGUAGGGAAUCUUCCGCAAUGGACGAAAGUCUGACGGAGCAACGCCGCGUGAGUGAUGAAGGCUUUCGGGUCGUAAAACUCUGUUGUUAGGGAAGAACAAGUGCUAGUUGAAUAAGCUGGCACCUUGACGGUACCUAACCAGAAAGCCACGGCUAACUACGUGCAGCCGCCGCCGUAA
rnacentral:rRNA from 1 species